rnacentral:lncRNA from 1 species
GUGGGAGAUGUACAGGAUGGCAAUAAACAGAUAUAAUAGUAAAAUAUCAAUAAUAGUAAUAACUCAUUAUUAUACAGAUUAAGAAAAAAGGAAAGACAAAAAAAAAAAAAAAACAGUAAUCAAACCCCAUCAUCAUGAGCUAUGGUGUAUCAAUUAAAAUGGAAGGGAAUUACAUGCAAAUGCUUCAAACAGAAAAAGCUGAAUACCUUUCCACUGAUGAUUUUUAGUUGUCAGGACAAGUGAGACCCAAACAGCAGACAGAAUGGUCCCAGCAUGCUUGUUGCCUUUUUUUGUUUGCACAGUAGCUGUCAAUUUCAGCCUUGCAGGUAGGGGAACCCAGCGGGAGGCAGGGGCGGGACCCAACCACGCAGGCUGAACUGAGAGCAAAUUUAAAUUACUGAGCCUUUUUUUUCCUUUUUUAUUUUUCUACUCUGCGACAAACUGAAAAGAUUCCAGCACGCUAAUUUAACCACCCUGCUUCUUCUUUGCCUUUUUUUUUUUUUUUUUUGUCUCCCUGCUUCCAGGAUAAUUAAAAGAGAAACCUGUAAAGGCAACAUUCCUGUGACCGAGUUGGUGCUGCUACGUGCUGAGAGGAAGUGGCCUCACCCAACAGGAGACAUCUUUCAGUUCCACCAAGGUGAAGACGGGUAACUUCUAAGGCAGAGAAAAAGGGAUGCCAGUUACGGACCACAAUGGCCCAGCUUUUUAAACAAAGUGCAAGAGAAUCAUCACCAAUGAGUAAGCUACAAGGCCUAGCCUCUGUGGUUGGGCUGAGUCGAUGUGUGCUUAUGCCAACCCCUUGAUUUCAUUCUGUGUACUCUCUUCACUGACACAGUGAUGCCCGCAGGACUAGAGAGAAACGUUUCAACAGAACAGCAAGUGUAUAUAAAAACCACUGUUCCACCACCUACUGAAAUGAUUCCUACAUGGUUCCCAAGAAAAUAAAGAGAAUAUCUCUCUCCUUAAAACUAAAAUA